rnacentral:misc_RNA from 1 species
AAAAAUAAAUAGAAAAAAAAAAAAGGAAAAGAAAGAGAGAAACAAAGGAAGGUAAUGAUAAAAGUGAAGGAACAAUUAAAAAAAAAAAUUAACGCCAAAAUUAGAAGGUCUCUCGUAUAUUCAAAAUUCUCUAAAAAGCAUAGUCCAUCAUUAAUUAGCUAAAGUUUCAGUUAAUUCCUUUAUGGUCUGCUCCAGCAAACAUUGAUAGGUGAUAUCUCAAUUCAGAAGGGGGAAAAAAAUCUUGCUGGUACCGCCAAGAGGUUCUCCCCAAAAUCCACUUCAACCCAAAUUUAAUUAAUAUUGAACCAAUAUAAUCCAAAUUAUUUUUAAAACUACAUUGACAUAAAGCUAUCGUUUUUAACUUAACUGCAAAAUUAUGGCAAGAGUAGAUAUCAG